rnacentral:rRNA from 1 species
UACAGAGGGUGCGAGCGUUGUCCGGAAUCACUGGGCGUAAAGGGCGCGUAGGUGGCGACCCAAGUCGAUGGUGAAAGCUCGCCGCUUAACGGCGAGUCGGCCACCGAUACUGGGUUGCUCGAGCACUGUAGAGGCUCAUGGAAUUCCGGGUGUAGCGGUGGAAUGCGUAGAGAUCCGGAAGAACACCGGUGGCGAAGGCGGUGAGCUGGGCAGUUGCUGACACUGAGGCGCGACGAGCGUGGGGAGCAAACAGG